rnacentral:rRNA from 1 species
AUUGAACGCUAGCGGGAUGCCUUACACAUGCAAGUCGAACGGAGUGGCGAACGGGUGAGUAAUGUAUCGGAACGUGCCCAGUAGCGGGGGAUAACUACGCGAAAGCGGAGCUAAUACCGCAUACUAUUGGAGCGGCCUAUGUCGGAUUAGCUAGUUGGUGGGGUAAAGGCUCACCAAGGCGACGAUCCGUAGCUGGUUUGAGAGGACGACCAGCCACACUGGGACUGAGACACGGCCCAGACUCCUACGGGAGGCAGCAGUGGGGAAUUUUGGACAAUGGGGGAAAGCCUGAUCCAGCCAUCCCGCGUGUGUGAUGAAGGCCUUCGGGUUGUAAAGCACUUUUGGCAGGAAAGCGGUACCUGCAGAAUAAGCACCGGCUAACUACGUGCCAGCAGCCGCGGUAAUUC